AAGUCGAACGGUAACGCGGGGGCAACCCUGGCGACGAGUGGCGAACGGGUGAGUAAUACAUCGGAACGUGUCCUGGAGUGGGGGAUAGCUCGGCGAAAGCCGGAUUAAUACCGCAUACGCUCUGAGGAGGAAAGCGGGGGACCUUCGGGCCUCGCGCUGCAGGAGCGGCCGAUGUCGGAUUAGCUAGUUGGUGGGGUAAAGGCCUACCAAGGCGACGAUCCGUAGCUGGUCUGAGAGGAUGAUCAGCCACACUGGGACUGAGACACGGCCCAGACUCCUACGGGAGGCAGCAGUGGGGAAUUUUGGACAAUGGGGGCAACCCUGAUCCAGCCAUGCCGCGUGAGUGAAGAAGGCCUUCGGGUUGUAAAGCUCUUUCGGACGGAACGAAAAGGUUAGCGUGAAUAACGCUGACUAAUGACGGUACCGUAAGAAGAAGCACCGGCUAACUACGUGCCAGCAGCCGCGGUAAUACGUAGGGUGCGAGCGUUAAUCGGAAUUACUGGGCGUAAAGCGUGCGCAGGCGGUU
rnacentral:rRNA from 1 species